rnacentral:rRNA from 1 species
AGUGAACGCUGGCGACGUGCUUAACACAUGCAAGUCGAACGAGAACGGAUUAUAGCUUGCUAUAAUUGUCAGCUAAGUGGCGCACGGGUGAGUAAUGUAUAGGUAAUAUGCCUCUUACUAAGGGAUAACAAAUGGAAACGUUUGCUAAUACCUUAUACUCCUUAUUAACAUAAGUUAAUAAGGGAAAGAUUUAUUGGUAAGAGAUUAGCCUGUAUUGUAUCAGUUAGUUGGUGGGGUAAUGGCUUACCAAGACUAUGACACAUAACUGGUUUGAGAGGAUGAUCAGUCACACUGGAACUGAGACACGGUCCAGACUCCUACGGGAGGCAGCAGUGGGGAAUAUUGCACAAUGGACGAAAGUCUGAUGCAGCAACGCCGCGUGGAGGAUGACACAUUUCGGUGCGUAAACUCCUUUUAUAUGAGAAGAUAAUGACGGUAUUAUAUGAAUAAGCACCGGCUAGCUCCGUGCCAGCCGCCGCCGUAA